rnacentral:rRNA from 1 species
UACGUAGGGGGCGAGCGUUGUCCGGAUUUAUUGGGCGUAAAGAGCGUGUAGGCGGCCAGGUAGGUCUGCUGUGAAAACUCGAGGCUCAACCUCGAGACGUCGGCGGAAACCAUCUGGCUAGAGUCCGGAAGAGGAGAGUGGAAUUCCUGGUGUAGCGGUGAAAUGCGCAGAUAUCAGGAGGAACACCGGUGGCGAAGGCGGGUCUCUGGGCCGGAACUGACGCUAAGGAGCGAAAGCGUGGGGAGCGAACAGG